rnacentral:rRNA from 1 species
AUGUCAUCCCCGGCGUGCCGUCCCGGCCUCCCGGCGCCUCGCCGGCAGGCGCCGCUCCUCCCCCGCCCAGCCGCUACCCCGUCCGUCUCGAAGAUGGCUGUUCAUAGGACAAGACCUGCCCACUCCGCCUUCGAGUUCUCCUCCUCUCCUGGCCGCCGCCGUCGUGCUCGGGUCAUCUCUUCUUGCCACGGUGGUAUGGUAGAAAGAAGGAGACUACUGUUGAUCCCUGCAAUUAGUCUCACCAUUGGCUCCCUUCAGUACAGUCUGGAGAAGGGAGCAGCAAAAGCUGAAUUUACUGACAUGCCAGCGCUUCGUGGGAAGGAUUAUGGAAAGACGAAAAUGAGUUAUCCAGAUUACACUGAAACAGAAUCAGGCCUCCAAUACAAGGACUUGCGAGUUGGAGAGGGCCCAUCCCCAAAGAAGGGAGAGACAGUAGUGAUUGAUUGGGAUGGGUACACAAUUGGAUACUACGGUCGCAUUUUUGAAGCUCGAAACAAGACCAAAGGUGGUUCUUUCGAGGGUGGUGAUAAAGAAUUCUUCAAGUUUAAGGUUGGAUCAGGACAGGUAAUACCAGCCUUUGAGGAGGCUAUGACAGGCAUGCGUCCCGGUGGAGUUAGAAGGAUAAUAGUACCACCGGAUAUUGGAUACCCAGAUAAUGACUUGAACAAGUUAGGCCCAAAACCGACAACAUUUUCGGGACAAAGAGCUCUAGAUUUCGUUCUAAGGAAUCAAGGACUAAUAGAUAAAACCCUCCUGUUUGACAUUGAGCUUAUCAGAAUAAUUCCGAGUCAAUAG